rnacentral:rRNA from 1 species
GAUGAACGCUGGCGGCGUGCCUAAUACAUGCAAGUCGAGCGAAUGGAUUGAGAGCUUGCUCUUAUGAAGUUAGCGGCGGACGGGUGAGUAACACGUGGGUAACCUGCCCAUAAGACUGGGAUAACUCCGGGAAACCGGGGCUAAUACCGGAUAACAUUUUGAACCGCAUGGUUCGAAAUUGAAAGGCGGCUUCGGCUGUCACUUAUGGAUGGACCCGCGUCGCAUUAGCUAGUUGGUGAGGUAACGGCUCACCAAGGCAACGAUGCGUAGCCGAGCUGAGAGGGGGAUCGGCCACACUGGGACUGAGACACGGCCCAGACUCCUACGGGAGGCAGCAGUAGGGAAUCUUCCGCAAUGGACGAAAAUCUGACGGAGCAACGCCGCGUGAGUGAUGAAGGCUUUCGGGUCGUAAAACUCUGUUGUUAGGGAAGAACAAGUGCUAGUUGAAUAAGCUGGCACCUUGACGGUACCUAACCAGAAAGCCACGGCUAACUACGUGCCAGCCGCCGCGGUAA